rnacentral:RNase_MRP_RNA from 13 species
GCGGCGCACAGGCGGGGGGGUCGCUCCCAUUUCGACGUUGUGGGGAAAGUCCCCGUGCCUUGGGGCAGGGAGUGCCGGCGGGAAACCGCAGGGC